rnacentral:rRNA from 1 species
UACGAAGGACCCGAGCGUUAUCCGGAUUUAUUGGGCUUAAAGCGCACUGAGGCGGAUUGCUAAGUCAGGGGUGAAAUCCUGGAGCUCAACUCCAGACCUGCCUUUGAUACUGGCGAUCUUGAGUCUGGGAGAGGCGAGUGGAACUGCGAGUGUAGAGGUGAAAUUCGUAGAUAUUCGCAAGAACACCAGUGGCGAAGGCGGCUCACUGGCC